CUUUUGACUUCUGGAAAAAAACCAGAAAUUCUGACAGCCCCACACUUCCACAACAUCUUGCAUGGGAGCUGUUUCCAUCAUCUUGAAACUAUGAAGAAAGGGACAAGGGAAUCCUGGAGAUGCUGACAUUAUCAUCCCAGGGAAGCUACCGCAGCAUCUUGACUUUUCGAGGCCAAGGAUAUUCCCGUGAUGUAGUCCGGCAAUGGAUCUCUGGCCACAGUUCUCUGAAGUUCUAUCAUUUCAAGACAAACCACUAAUUGCUGAGGAAUUCACUGGGAACUAAAAAGGAACUUUCUUUCAUAGCUUGGCCACAGAGACCAGAGCAGGAGGCUUCAGAUGUACCAACCUCAUGAUGAACCUAUAGGCUCACGUGCGUGCACACACCCAGUCCAGGAUUGCAGUUCCUCCACCCUGAAUUCCUCAAGGUAACAGACUUUGCACGUCCCACCUCCAUCACUGAGUCUGGCACAGAGCAAGGGGUCACCAAAUGUGGAUCAUGGAAUGAAAGAACAUCCUGCCAAAGCACGUAGAAUA